UACGGAGGGUGCGAACGUUAAUCGGAAUCACUGGGCGUAAAGCGCGCGUAGGCGGUCCGUUAAGUGGGAUGUGAAAUCCCCGGGCUUAACCUGGGAAUUGCAUUUCAAACUGGCGGACUAGAGUGCGGUAGAGGGAGGUAGAAUUUCCUGUGUAGCGGUGAAAUGCGUAGAUAUAGGAAGGAAUACCAGUGGCGAAGGCGGGUCUCUGGGCCGAUACUGACGCUGAGGAGCGAAAGCGUGGGGAGCGAACAGG
rnacentral:rRNA from 1 species